rnacentral:lncRNA from 1 species
CGGACAAGGCACGGGCCUCGAGUGGACACCAAUGACUCUCACGACACUCCACCCGAGUGUCGGACUCUCACGGAUCAAGUACGUGGAUUUACGGGUUUCCCCGUUAAGAUAUGAUCAUACAUGUUAUAUUAUCUGAGCCGAGGCCCAAACAAUAUAAUGCAAUGACAUAAGUAUAUGCAACACAACAUCAAUGUAUCACAGUCAUGUUAUACCCCUCGAGCCGAAGCCUGACGAUAUAACUCAAUAUCUUUCACAAACAUCAAUCAUUAUCAUAUCAUUAUAUAUCUAAAAGCGCAACCUAGCAAUGCAUCAACCAAUACUCUUGUUUUGCAGGCGCUAGUUGCACACACAACAAUCAUAACCCAUAACCGAGACUCACCUCAACACUUAGAUGAAAGUUUUGGACUGGAAAUGCUUAUAUCUCGCGGUCGGCUUCACUUUAAACUUUUAUCGGAAAACUCUAGAGCUUUAGAAAUCUAAAUACAGGACGGGCAGGGUAAGACAGGCUAUCAAAGUUCUAACUAAGAAAAUAAAAAAAAAGAAAAACAAAUCUAAAUAAAAAGAAAGCUAAAGACAAAAACAUUUUACAUUAGGGUUUCGACUUUUUCGAGCUGCUAUGGUUAGGGUUCUAACCAUGAGAAAUGACUAAGGGGGUGGUCUGUUAUUUAUAGGCUGGAGAAUGAGCUCAGGAGAAGGUAUAGGUCGUGGGUUACAAGCAGGAGCUGUCCUGGGUGCCCCAUGCAACCAAUUGGAGAGAGAUUGGUGUGCAGCCACAAAUAUGUCCAAUUAAAACAAGUUUUGUGGCCAGCCACCAAUUCAACCAAUAGGAUAUAAGCAAGAGCUGCUUGGAGGAUUCUCCAGUAAAGGAGUAACACAUGUCUAGCUGCUUAAGGAGGUAGACAAGCAGCUGCAUCCUCCAGAAGCUUCCGGAUAGGCUUAACACAUCGUAAAUGGGCCCGAAUGGGCCGUAUUUAAAUCUGAACGUGUUAUAAGCUGAUCCGAGCUGGCGGAAAUGUUUCUACUUAACAAAAAC